AUAUAUAUAUACCUCGUCGCCAUCAGCACGGGUUAGGGGAAAAAAGGAGGGCCCUCCUCGUCUCGGUUACUCCGCGCGUAAGCCGCGCGCGCAUACCAUCCCAGAUGCUUCACUUGGUUCCGUACUUCUUUUGCGGAUUCAUAUAUCCACAUGCAUACAUAUAUAUGUAUAUAUAAGUAUCCAUACUUAAUAUAAUGUAUUGUAAGACUUGUCUCUGUUCACAAAACAUGUCCAUGUGCAUGCCCUUUGUAGCAACUCCGGAUCAUUGAACAAGAGAAAAUAUAAAAUCAUUUAAAUAUUAUCAUUUUUACUCUAGAUAAAAAAUGGUUUUAUAAUUAUCUUUAUCUGUGACUUUAAAAACACGUCAUACGAUUUAUCUCUACGUCAACUAAACAUUAUUUUGUAUUGUUCUAUCGAUACUUUUUAUUUACUCUGUCAUUCUGAUGACAGUUAGUCGGUUCAAGGUUCUCAAAAAAGAUAAACCAAAAUAGGUGACUCAAAUAUUUGUAUACGAUUGUACGUCUCCUAAAGAUUUUCAACACAACAAUUAUAAUAAUAAUAACAACAAUCCUAAUUUAAAUUAUAUAUACACAUACUAUACUGCUCACAACAAAGAAAUAAAUAAUGUAAACAGUAACUCUGGUAAGAUUGCUUUAAAAAUUAAAGCUAAAUUAUUUAUUUACUUAUUUUUCAUAAUUUCAACGACUGCUGAGUAAUCAAUGAUACCGAAGUAUGUUGCACGUAUAGAUCUGCUAUUAGAGUUGCAUCAACUCGAUACAAGUAAAGACUACAGAGGAUUUUGUAAUAAAAAAAAAGCUGAUAGACAGAGAUGGAGACAGUUUGAAGGAACGAUAAUGAGAAGUUAGAGCAAUAAAUAUUAUUACUAGUUUGCAUUUCCGGGAGCCUUCUCUAAGAAGGUUGGGUCAGUAUUGCCUGCCUACUUGUAUCUGGUUUGUAUUUAAUCUAUCGAUGUAUAGCAAGAAGUAGUCGCAACAACUUUACGAGUAGAUUUUAGUUAUUCAUCAUCUUAUACUCGAAUAAUUUAUUAGCCGACAUGCAGGUCACAUAUUUAUGUUUAUAUUACAUAUACAUGUAUAGAUAAAUGUUUAUCACCGUUAAACAUUUAGCAUGCGCUCAGUAUUCGAAAUUAUAAUUUAAUAUAUAUGUUUUUGAUACUUACUGGUACU